CCUACGGGGGGCAGCAGUGAGGAAUAUUGGUCAAUGGACGAGAGUCUGAACCAGCCAAGUAGCGUGAAGGAUGACUGCCCUAUGGGUUGUAAACUUCUUUUAUAUGGGAAUAAAACGUUCCACGUGUGGGAUUUUGUAUGUACCAUAUGAAUAAGGAUCGGCUAACUCCGUGCCAGCAGCCGCGGUAAUACGGAGGAUCCGAGCGUUAUCCGGAUUUAUUGGGUUUAAAGGGAGCGUAGGUGGAUUGUUAAGUCAGUUGUGAAAGUUUGCGGCUCAACCGUAAAAUUGCAGUUGAAACUGGCAGUCUUGAGUACAGGAGAGGUAGGCGGAAUUCGUGGUGUAGCGGUGAAAUGCUUAGAUAUCACGAAGAACUCCGAUUGCGAAGGCAGUUCACUGGACUGCAACUGACACUGAGGCUCGAAAGUGUGGGUAUCAAACAGGAUUAGAUACCCUUGUAGUC
rnacentral:rRNA from 1 species